GUCCCAGUUCGGAUUGUAGUCUGCAACCCGACUACNUGAAGCUGGAAUCGCUAGUAAUCGCGGAUCAGAAUGCCGCGGUGAAUACGUUCCCGGGUCUUGUACACACCGCCCGUCACACCAUGGGAGUCGGAAAUGCCCGAAGUCUGUGACCCAACCAUUAAGGAGGGAGCAGCCGAAGGCAGGUCGGAUGACUGGGGUGAAGUCGUAACAAGGUACC
rnacentral:rRNA from 1 species